rnacentral:rRNA from 1 species
AUUGAACGCUGGCGGCAGGCCUAACACAUGCAAGUCGAACGAGUGGCGGACGGGUGAGUAAUGUCUGGGAAACUGCCUGAUGGAGGGGGAUAACUACUGGAAACGGUAGCUAAUACCGCAUACCAUCGGAUGUGCCCAGAUGGGAUUAGCUAGUAGGUGGGGUAAAGGCUCACCUAGGCGACGAUCCCUAGCUGGUCUGAGAGGAUGACCACCACACCUGGAACUGGGACACGGUCCAGACUCCAACGGACGGCAGCGGUGGGGAAUUUUGAACAAUGGGCGAAGGCCUGAUGCAGCCAGGCCGCGUGUAUGAAGAGGGCCUUCGGGUUGUAAAGUACUUUCAGCGGGGAGACGUUACCCGCAGAAGAAGCACCGGCUAACUCCUUGCCAGCAGCCGCGGUAUUC